ensembl:lncRNA
CUGCAGUGUUAGCGCUGACACAUUGCUUGGGUUCGGCUCUGCUGUGCUGCACGCGCACAGGCAUCACAUAUGAGCGUCCAUCCAACCAUCCAUCUGCCUUCAUCCUUAGCUAGAGUCACACCACUGUGCAGCCAUGGUAUCUGUGGGGGGAAUGGAGUUUACCUAUCAUUAUCUUUUUUAUUGAGGCAGGUUAGAGGUGUUACUGGACAAGUUUUCCAGGAUCUUUUUCAUCACAGCCUAGAGGCAGCUUUAUACCAGUACAAAAGCCUGGAGGGAGACCGUGACCCCGGGCGAUUGCUGGCUUCUCGCCCCUGCUGCAGCGGGUUUUCGAGGUGCAAAGGCUGUGGCACGCCAAGCUGCAGGCUGAGCUCCAGAAAAGUCUCUCCUCCCCGUGAAAUCCUCGYGGCUGUCGGCAGCAUCCAGAGCCUGCACUGGGUUGCUGGGUCCGCGUCUCGGUCUGCGACGCCUGGGAGCAGAGCCGGCCCUCUGCAUCUGCAUUCAUCAUGCUGGUGGCACCUUGCAGCCCUGGGCUGGGAUAACCUGGCCCCCUGCUUGGGGCUAAUCCCCUGCGCUGGUUCAUGCAUGCAGCAUUUUGAAGCAACCCCUAUUUUUACAGGCAGUGAAACUGAGGCAUGGAUUUCAGAAAAAGAGGAGGAGAGAGGGGGAAGAAAAGCCUGGCCAAGGCUGCAAGGAUCCCUGGGGCAGGCCUGGCUUGUUCCUUUUUUGAUCCAUUUUCCUCACAACUGGCCACCUGUAAAGCUGUUAGUUGUGUAUGUGGCAUUACAUUUGCAUUUCCAGCUGCUCCAGCCAGGUCUGCAUUUGCAUUUGCAUUUGCAGCUCCUCCAGCCAGGUACAGCCGCAGUGCCAGGACAAGCCCAGCACCCUGUGCACGCCUGGAGAUGACUGUUGUGUUUCUCCAUGGAAGCUGGAGCAGUUUUGGGGUGCUGCAAACCCUCCUUUCGGGGGCCCUGGCAGCUUUCCUGCAGCCGGUGGGUCACACAGCCUCACCACUGGUGGGACGGGGUGAGAGGGGAAACUGAGGCACCGCGCUGGGGAACCUGGCCGUGCCACUUGCCCAUGAGCACAGAGCAGGAGGAUGUGGAGAUGCGCUGGGGAGACUGGGAUUUGCAGAGGAAGCACUGGGAUUUGGACGCCCAAAUCCCUUCCCCCAGCUCCAGUGCCGACAUCCCAGUCGGGGGCUGAGUUUGGUGCCAAUCACUGUUUAAUUAGGGUUUGCUUCGAUGCAGAAGUACCACYCAGGUUUGGCUGUCCAUGCGUCGAAGGGCACAGCAUGAGCCAGGGGAGAAACAAGCCAUCCCAUGCCUCUUCCAAGGCUUGAGCUACCCUGUUCACUUUGAAUUAACAACACAGAGGCAAUGCCAGCAGCACGCUGGCUCCCCAGCGCUUUGCACUCUUGCUUGCACAUGAGCACGGUGCAUGAAAACGCCUCACGCUCGCCGCCCCAAGUUGCCUGCUGUGGGGUGCCCAGCCCCAGGGCCAGGCCAGUCGUAUUAAAAAAAGCCCCAUCAGAAAACCAUCCUCUGAGCUGGGGUUUCUCACGGCCGCAGCGGCGUGCUGUGACGGAGGCUCUCGCUUCGAACACGUUGCAAAGGGUUUGCUGCUCCCUCUCCCCGCACACCAUCCGGCUCGGAGGUGAAGUUUGCUCCUGGGCUGACCUUAGCGAUAAAAAGUGGAACUUAAGGCUUCAGCAUGACACAAGCGUGCAGGGCCCUUGGCUGAGCUUUAAUGCCUUGUUCUGCUCUGCCAACGGCACAGCACUGAGCUGCCCUGCUCUAACAAAACCCGCUCUCCCCAUCUGCGACUUAAUAAAUCUCUGCUAGCAAAACCCA